rnacentral:rRNA from 1 species
GCAUAUCAAUAAGCGGAGGAAAAGAAAAUAACAAUGAUUCCUCUAGUAACUGCGAGUGAAGAGGGAAAAGCUCAAAUUUUAAAUCUGUUAGGUUUACCUAACCGAGUUGUAAUUUGAAGAAGCGUUUUCUGCGAAUUUGGUUAGUCCAAAUCCUUUGGAAUAAGGUAUCAUGGAGGGUGAGAAUCCCGUUCGGUUAACCAAAGCGCUUUACGAUACGCUUUCAAAGAGUCAAGUUGUUUGGGAUUGCAGCUUAAAAUGGGAGGUAAAUUUCUCCUAAGGCUAAAUAUUGGCGAGAGACCGAUAGCGAACAAGUACCGUGAGGGAAAGAUGAAAAGAACUUUGAAAAGAGAGUUAAACAGUACGUGAAAUUGUUGAAAGGGAAACGAUUAAAGUCAGUCGUACCUACGAGUAAUCAACCUAUUCGAGUGCGAUUUUGUGGGUAUGUUAGAGUUUAAACCUUCAUGCUUACAAAUUGGUGCUCUUUGGGCGUACUUUCUCGUAUGGUAGGUUAACAUCAAUUUCGAUCGUUAUAAAAUGACUGGAGGAAUGUAGCUUCGACCUCGGUUGAAGUGUUAUAGCCUUUGGUAGAUGUAAUAAUUGGGAUUGAGGAUUGCAACGGAUACCCUUUGGGCUAUUCGUCUGAUCUCUGGAAGUUACCUUGGUGUCAAAAGCGUGCUUACGAUAUUAAGGUUGACGGCCAAUAGGUUAGAACGUGAUUAAAUUCGUUAAGGAUGUUGACGUAAUGGCUUUAAACGAC